rnacentral:rRNA from 1 species
UACGGAGGGUGCAAGCGUUAUCCGGAUUUACUGGGUUUAAAGGGUGCGUAGGUGGGCCUGUAAGUCAGUGGUGAAAUCUUCAAGCUUAACUUGGAAACUGCCAUUGAUACUAUAGGUCUUGAAUUUAUCUGGAGGUAAGCGGAAUAUGUCAUGUAGCGGUGAAAUGCUUAGAGAUGACAUAGAACACCCAUUGCGAAGGCAGCUUACUACGGAUUGAUUGACACUGAGGCACGAAAGCGUGGGGAUCAAACAGG